rnacentral:rRNA from 1 species
AAGAAAGUUACUAAGGGCGCACGGGGGAUGCCUUGGCUCUCAGAGGCGAUGAAGGACGUGAUAAGCUGCGAUAAGCAUCGGGUAUUGGCAAAUACGAAUUGAUCCGAUGAUUUCCGAAUGGGGAAACCUAACUAGUUGAAGACUAGUUGUAAAAUACGCUAACCUGCCGAACUGAAACAUCUAAGUAAGCAGAGGAAGAGAAAACAAUAGUGAUUUCGUAAGUAGUGGCGAGCGAACACGAAACAGCCCAAACCAAUAAUGUUACGGCAUUAUUGGGGUUGUAGGACAGCAACGUGGACUAUAUGAUUGAAAUGGAAAGUCUUGGGAAGGACUACCAAAGAACGUGACAGUCGUGUACAUGUAAGAUCAUAUUACCUAGCUGUAUCCUGAGUACCGCGAGGUCGGAGACGCCUUGUGGGAAUCUGCCAGCACCAUCUGGUAAGGCUAAAUACUACUGAGAGACCGAUAGUGAACAAGUACUGUGAAGGAAAGGUGAAAAGAACCCCGAACAGGGGAGUGCAAUAGAACCUGAAACCGUGCGCUUACAAGCGGUCGGAGCCCUUAUGGGGUGACGGCGUGCCUUUUGCAUAAUGAGCCUACGAGUUACUUCUCACUGGCAAGGUUAAGUCCUUCAGGGACGCAGCCGAAGCGAAAGCGAGUCUGAAUAGGGCGCAUAGUCAGUGGGAGUAGACGCGAAACCUUGUGAUCUACCCUUGAGCAGGAUGAAGUUGCAGUAACAUGUAAUGGAGGUCCGAACCGGUUAACGUUGAAAAGUUUUCGGAUGACUUGAGGGUAGGGGUGAAAGGCUAAUCAAACUGGGAAAUAGCUCGUACUCUCCGAAAUGUUUUUAGGAACAGCCUGGCGGUUAAGUGUACUAGAGGUAGAGCUACUAAUUGGAUGCGGGGGAGUCAAAUCCUACCAAAUCCAGAUAAACUCCGAAUGCUAGUUACAUAUACGCUGGAGUGAGGCUUUGGGUGCUAAGGUCCAAGGCCGAGAGGGAAAGAACCCAGACCAUCAGCUAAGGUCCCCAAAUAUAUACUAAGUUGAACUAACGGGGUCCGAUUGCAUAGACAGCUAGGAUGUUGGCUUGGAAGCAGCCAUUCAUUUAAAGAGUGCGUAACAGCUCACUAGUCGAGCGAUCGGGCAUGGAUAAUAAUCGGGCAUCAAGUAUAUUACCGAAGCUAUGGAUAGGGAUUAAUCCUUAUGGUAGGAGAGCAUUCUAAACAGCAGUGAAGGUGUACCGUAAGGCGCGCUGGAGCGUUUAGAAAAGCAAAUGUAGGCAUAAGUAACGAUAAUGCAGGCGAGAAACCUGCACACCGAAAGACUAAGGUUUCCUGAUCAACGCUAAUCGGAUCAGGGUUAGUCGGGGCCUAAGGUGUAGCCGAAGGGCGAAGCCGAUGGACAAUUGGUUAAUAUUCCAAUACUAUCUUGUAUU